CCUACGGGGGGCAGCAGUGGGGAAUAUUUCGCAAUGGGCGAAAGCCUGACGCAGCGACGCCGCGUGAGGGAUGGAAGUCUUCGGAUCGGAAACCUCUGUCAGCAGGGAAGAACGGUCACUGUGCUAAUCAGCAGGGAAUUGACGGUACCUGCACAGGAAGCACCGGCUAACUCCGUGCCAGCACCCGCGGUAAUACGGAGGGUGCGAGCGUUAAUCGGAAUUACUGGGCGUAAAGCGCUCGUAGGCGGUAUGUCAAGUCAAGGGUGAAAUCCCCGCGCUCAACGUGGGAACGGCGUGUGAAACUGGGAGACUGGAGUGUGUGAGAGGAUAGUGGAAUUCCAGGUGUAGGAGUGAAAUCCGUAGAUAUCUGGAGGAACAUCAGUGGCGAAGGCGACUAUCUGGCACAUAACUGACGCUGAGGAGCGAAAGCGUGGGUAGCAAAAAGGAUUAGAUACCCUUGUAGUC
rnacentral:rRNA from 1 species